rnacentral:lncRNA from 13 species
UUUUCCCAGUUUCUUUUUUUUUUUUUCAGGAUUUCACUCAUCUGAUUUUAUUUAUAUUUUCAUGGGAACAACUACAAACAUUUGAACAGCCAAGUCCACAGUAGUGCUUAAACCACAUUAGAACACCACUUUUGGAGUCUUGAAAAAAUUCCGCCUGAAUUUUCUGGAGGUUGUAGUUGUCCUUUUAAUAAAAUUUAGCACAGCAAAAGACCAUUGUUUGGCUAGCAGUGUUUUUGUAGUUUACACUGUACAACGGUGCUUUCCUUCCCCCAGGAGGAGGAGAGCGAGAGGAAGUGUCAUUGGGAGAUGGACCAGCAGCAGGUAGCCUCCAAGAUGGAGGAGCUGCAGUCGGCCAAGGUGGAGCUGGAGGUGGACACGCACAAGACACGUCUCCGCCUCCAUAUGGAGGUCCAGGCCGCACGGCGGGCCAUGGCCGACCACGGUGACCGGCAGGCCAAGGUGGUGGAGGCCCUCGAGGCAGAGAAGUGGAAGGUCGGCAAAGACCUUGAGGAGAUGCAGAGGAAACUGGCGUUGUAAGGAAGCCGGACUACGAGAAACGUGUUUAAGGCUGAGGCACAGAGCCAGCUGGUGAAGGCCACCUCAGCCAGCCAGAGAGCUGUGUUCAUCGCCAUGCACUGGGUGACCAGUGUCGAUCCUGGAACCGGAACGCUCUACAUUAAUGCAGAGGAGCUCAAGACCCCAAGUCAAGAGAACGGGAGGCUACUUUCAGCUUCUCAUCCAGCGGUCUGUGGUCCUGUCUCUGUUGGAGGGGACCUGUAAAGGGGUGCAUUCUCUCCUGGAGGAGGGCCUGACUAUCUCCAAGGAGAUGCUGAGCGAUACUCAGCUGACCUACCCCAGGACUCCGGUUUUGCAGAGCCUCAAGUCGAAGAUGCUCGACCUGUCCUGCCCUCUCCAGAGCUACAUCCACUGCCACAUGACGUUCUCAAAACAAUAUAGGUCCAUUUGAUCUUUUCUACAUGCAUAUAUGUGGUUUUAGUUG